AACGAACUGCUGCGAAAUGAAAACAAGGAAAAGCAGGCAGCACGCCGACGAUGCGCACCAAAAGGAAGCCCCACGACGAAGAAAAGCGUGAGCAGGCGAGAAGCACAGCAGUACGAAGUACGAUUGGAAAGUGCGGAGAGCGAGGGUGCGGUACAUACGAACCCGCGAGGCCAGGCACGCUGCUGGUAAGGUAGCUGCAAGCCGCGAGCUCUGGCCACCAUCGCUGGCAAAAAUUGACAAAGCAGCAAUGAAAAAGAUUGGGCGUUUGCCUAGGGUCAGCGAGCGCCCCAGACGAGACGAGCCAGUGUGUGGGACGAGCCAAGUGACCACAUUGCACUGAUAACCACCCCAGCAGGAAAAGCAGCUGCGAGCAGUGGCCACCGACGCUGGCAAAAUUUGACAAAGAAGCGAUGAAAAAGAUUGGGCAGUUGCCUAGGGUCAGCGAGCGCCCCAGAUGAGACGAGCCAGUGUGUGGGACGAGCCAAGUGACCACAUUGCACUGAUAACCACCCCAGCAGGAAAAGCAGCUGCGAGCAGUGGCCACCGACGCUGGCAAAAUUUGACAAAGCAGCAAUGAAAAAAAUUCUCUUGCAGGAUUGGACUGUUGCCUAGGGUAAGCGAGCGCCCCAGAUGAGACGAGCCAGUGUGUGUGACGAGCCAAGUGACCACAUUGCACUGAUAACCACCCCAGCAGGAAAAGCAGCUGCGAGCAGUGGCCACCGACGCUGGCAAAAUUUGACAAAGCAGCAAUGAAAAAGAUUAGGCAGUUGCCUAGGGUCAGCGAGCGCCCCAGAUGAGACGAGCCAGUGUGUGGGACGAGCCAAGUGACCACAUUGCACUGAUAACCACCCCAGCAGGAAAAGCAGCUGCGAGCAGUGGCCACCGACGCUGGCAAAAUUUGACAAAGCAGCAAUGAAAAAGAUUGGGCAGUUGCCUAGGGUCAGUGAGCGCCCCAGAUGAGACGAGCUAGUGUGUGGGACGAGCCAAGUGACCACAUUGCACUGAUAACCACCCCAGCAGGAAAAGCAGCUGCGAGCAGUGGCCACCGACGCUGGCAAAAUUUGACAAAGCAGCAAUGAAAAGAUUGGGCAGUUUCCUAGGGUCAGUGAGCGCCCUAGAUGAGACGAGCCAGUGUGUGGGACGAGCCAAGUGACCACAUUGCACUGAUAACCACCCCAGCAGGAAAAGCAGCUGCGAGCAGUGGCCACUGACGCUGGCAAAAUUUGACAAAGCAGCAAUGAAAAAGAUUGGGCAGUUUCCUAGGGUCAGCGAGCGCCCCAGAUGAGACGAGCUAGUGUGUGGGACAAGCCAAGUGACCACAUUGCACUGAUAACCACCCCAGCAGGAAAAGCAGCUGCGAGCAGUGGCCACCGACGCUGGCAAAAUUUGACAAAGCAGCCAUGAAAAAGAUUGGGCAGUUUCCUAGGGUCAGCGAGCGCCCCAGAUGAGACGAGCCAGUGUGUGGGACGAGCCAAGUGACCACAUUGCACUGAUAACCACCCCAGCAGGAAAAGCAGCUGCGAGCAGUGGCCACUGACGCUGGCAAAAUUUGACAAAGCAGCAAUGAAAAAGAUUGGGCAGUUUCCUAGGGUCAGCGAGCGCCCUAGAUGAGACGAGCCAGUGUGUGGGACGAGCCAAGUGACCACAUUGCACUGAUAACCACCCCAGCAGGAAAAGCAGCUGCGAGCAGUGGCCACUGACGCUGGCAAAAUUUGACAAAGCAGCAAUGAAAAAGAUUGGGCAGUUUCCUAGGGUCAGCGAGCGCCCCAGAUGAGACGAGCCAGUGUGUGGGACGAGCCAAGUGACCACAUUGCACUGAUAACCAACCCAGCAGGAAAAGCAGCUGCGAGCAGUGGCCACCGACGCUGGCAAAAUUUGACAAAGCAGCAAUGGAAAAAAUUCUCUUGCAGGAUUGGGCAGUUGCCUACACGCAUAGUGAACACUUCGCCGGCGCUGCUGCCGACUUUUCCGCCGAUUUUUCAGCGGACUGAACUCUACUGCAGCGCUGAUCACCUUGUGAAUGUUCGCAGGAGGUCCUGAUGCUUCACUCGUCGAGUUUGAUGGCCGCAAACUUACUCAUCGGCUCCCUCGCUGAUUCGCUGGAAGAUCUGCGCCGGCCUUCUGCUGGACGAUCGGUCGGCUGUUACCUUGGCUCCUCCUCCUUGGCUGGCUGGUGAUCUACAUGGAGAAAGAAAGGCGAUGCCAGGCCGCCUCCUGUGCAUGCAUCUCCGCUGAAGACUGUUGUAGCCUUGUCAAGCACCAGCACAGUCAAGCACAGUCUUCAGUGGCACCAUCCUUCUGCAGGGCGUCCUGCAUGCUGCCCUUCAAUGAGAGGAGGCACCUGGUGCCCAUUCACUCCAUGAAGUCCCGACUAGAAAGCCUGGAAGCUCGGAACGAGUCGCUCGCCAUU